rnacentral:rRNA from 1 species
CCUACGGGAGGCAGCAGUGAGGAAUAUUGGUCAACGGACGAGAGUCUGAACCAGCCAAGUAGCGUGAAGGAUGACUGCCCUAUGGGUUGUAAACUUCUUUUAUAUGGGAAUAAAAUGUUCCACGUGUGGGAUUUUGUAUGUACCAUAUGAAUAAGGAUCGGCUAACUCCGUGCCAGCAGCCGCGGGAAUACGGAGGAUCCGAGCGUUAUCCGGAUUUAUUGGGUUUAAAGGGAGCGUAGGUGGAUUGUUAAGUCAGUUGUGAAAGUUUGCGGCUCAACCGUAAAAUUGCAGUUGAAACUGGCAGUCUUGAGUACAGUAGAGGUGGGCGGAAUUCGUGGUGUAGCGGUGAAAUGCUUAGAUAUCACGAAGAACUCCGAUUGCGAAGGCAGUUCACUGGACUGCAACUGACACUGAGGCUCGAAAGUGUGGGUAUCAAACAGGAUUAGAUACCCGUGUAGUC